rnacentral:rRNA from 1 species
AAAGACGUGCGCAGGCGGUUAUGUAAGACAGAUGUGAAAUCCCCGGGCUCAACCUGGGAACUGCAUUUGUGACUGCAUGGCUAGAGUACGGUAGAGGGGGAUGGAAUUCCGCGUGUAGCAGUGAAAUGCGUAGAUAUGCGGAGGAACACCGAUGGCGAAGGCAAUCCCCUGGACCUGUACUGACGCUCAUGCACGAAAGCGUGGGGAGCAAACAGGAUUAGAUACCCAGU